GGCCUUGCGCUCUUUGAGCGGCCGAUGUCAGAUUAGCUAGUUGGUGAGGUAAAGGCUUACCAAGGCGACGAUCUGUAGCGGGUCUGAGAGGAUGAUCCGCCACACUGGAACUGAGACACGGUCCAGACUCCUACGGGAGGCAGCAGUGGGGAAUUUUGGACAAUGGGGGCAACCCUGAUCCAGCCAUGCCGCGUGAGUGAAGAAGGCCUUCGGGUUGUAAAGCUCUUUCGGCCGGGAAGAAAUCGCAUGGGCCAAUACCCUGUGUGGAUGACGGUACCGGAAUAAGAAGCACCGGCUAACUACGUGCCAGCAGCCGCGGUAAUACGUAGGGUGCGAGCGUUAAUCGGAAUUACUGGGCGUAAAGCGUGCGCAGGCGGUUUUGUAAGACAGGCGUGAAAUCCCCGGGCUUAACCUGGGAACUGCGUUCGUGACUGCAAGGCUAGAGUACGGCAGAGGGGGGUGGAAUUCCACGUGUAGCAGUGAAAUGCGUAGAGAUGUGGAGGAACACCAAUGGCGAAGGCAGCCCCCUGGGUCGAUACUGACGCUCAUGCACGAAAGCGUGGGUAGCAAACAGGAUUAGAUACCCUGGUAGUCCACGCCCUAAACUAUGUCAACUAGGUGUUGGGUGGGUAAAACCAUUUAGUACCGUAGCUAACGCGUGAAGUUGACCGCCUGGGGAGUACGGCCGCAAGGUUAAAACUCAAAGGAAUUGACGGGGACCCGCACAAGCGGUGGAUGAUGUGGAUUAAUUCGAUGCAACGCGAAAAACCUUACCUACCCUUGACAUGCCAGGAACUUGCCAGAGAUGGCUUGGUGCCCGAAAGGGAGCCUGGACACAGGUGCUGCAUGGCUGUCGUCAGCUCGUGUCGUGAGAUGUUGGGUUAAGUCCCGCAACGAGCGCAACCCUUGUCGUUAAUUGCCAUCAUUUAGUUGGGCACUUUAACGAGACUGCCGGUGACAAACCGGAGGAAGGUGGGGAUGACGUCAAGUCCUCAUGGCCCUUAUGGGUAGGGCUUCACACGUCAUACAAUGGUCGGUACAAAGGGUUGCCAAGCCGCGAGGCGGAGCCAAUCCCAGAAAGCCGAUCGUAGUCCGGAUUGCAGGCUGCAACUCGCCUGCAUGAAGUCGGAAUCGCUAGUAAUCGUGGAUCAGCAUGUCACGGUGAAUACGUUCCCGGGUCUUGUACACACCGCCCGUCACACCAUGGGAGCGGGUUCCGCCAGAAGUAGGUAGCCUAACCGCAA
rnacentral:rRNA from 1 species